rnacentral:rRNA from 1 species
GGUCAAGUGAAGAAGCGCAUACGGUGGAUGCCUUGGCAGUCAGAGGCGAUGAAAGACGUGGUAGCCUGCGAAAAGCUUCGGGGAGUCGGCAAACAGACUUUGAUCCGGAGAUGUCUGAAUGGGGGAACCCAGCCAUCAUAAGAUGGUUACCUUACACUGAAUACAUAGGUGUAUGGAGCGAACCAGGGGAACUGAAACAUCUAAGUACCCUGAGGAAAAGAAAUCAACCGAGAUUCCCUUAGUAGUGGCGAGCGAACGGGGACUAGCCCUUAAGUGGCUUUGAGAUUAGCGGAACGCUCUGGAAAGUGCGGCCAUAGUGGGUGAUAGCCCUGUACGCGAAAAUCUCUUAGUCAUGAAAUCGAGUAGGACGGAGCACGAGAAACUUUGUCUGAAUAUGGGGGGACCAUCCUCCAAGGCUAAAUACUACUGACUGACCGAUAGUGAACUAGUACCGUGAGGGAAAGGCGAAAAGAACCCCGGAGAGGGGAGUGAAAUAGAUCCUGAAACCGUAUGCGUACAAGCAGUGGGAGCCCACUUUGUUGGGUGACUGCGUACCUUUUGUAUAAUGGGUCAGCGACUUAUUUUCAGUGGCGAGCUUAACCGAAUAGGGGAGGCGUAGCGAAAGCGAGUCUUAAUAGGGCGUCUAGUCGCUGGGAAUAGACCCGAAACCGGGCGAUCUAUCCAUGGGCAGGUUGAAGGUUGGGUAACACUAACUGGAGGACCGAACCGACUACCGUUGAAAAGUUAGCGGAUGACCUGUGGAUCGGAGUGAAAGGCUAAUCAAGCUCGGAGAUAGCUGGUUCUCCUCGAAAGCUAUUUAGGUAGCGCCUCAUGUAUCACUGUAGGGGGUAGAGCACUGUUUCGGCUAGGGGGUCAUCCCGACUUACCAAACCGAUGCAAACUCCGAAUACCUACAAGUGCCGAGCAUGGGAGACACACGGCGGGUGCUAACGUCCGUCGUGAAAAGGGAAACAACCCAGACCGUCAGCUAAGGUCCCAAAGUUAUGGUUAAGUGGGAAACGAUGUGGGAAGGCUUAGACAGCUAGGAGGUUGGCUUAGAAGCAGCCACCCUUUAAAGAAAGCGUAAUAGCUCACUAGUCGAGUCGGCCUGCGCGGAAGAUGUAACGGGGCUCAAACCAUACACCGAAGCUACGGGUAUCACGUAAGUGAUGCGGUAGAGGAGCGUUCUGUAAGCCUGUGAAGGUGAGUUGAGAAGCUUGCUGGAGGUAUCAGAAGUGCGAAUGCUGACAUGAGUAACGACAAUGGGUGUGAAAAACACCCACGCCGAAAGACCAAGGUUUCCUGCGCAACGUUAAUCGACGCAGGGUUAGUCGGUCCCUAAGGCGAGGCUGAAAAGCGUAGUCGAUGGAAAACAGGUUAAUAUUCCUGUACUUCUGGUUAUUGCGAUGGAGGGACGGAGAAGGCUAGGCCAGCUUGGCGUUGGUUGUCCAAGUUUAAGGUGGUAGGCUG